rnacentral:rRNA from 1 species
AUGGCGAAGAGUACAUGGGCGCUCAUCUGCCACCUCCACGCCAUUGCAGGGCCGAGCCUGACCCUGAUAUACCCGCUGUACGCGUCGAUCUGCGCUAUGGAGAGCACGUCCAAGCUGGACGACGGCCAGUGGCUGGCCUACUGGAUAAUCUACUCCUUCAUCGCCCUCUUCGAAAUGGCAGCCGAGCAAGUCCUCUAUUGGAUACCGCUGUGGUACGAGGUGAAGCUGCUAUUCGUGGCGUGGCUGGUGCUGCCGCAGUUCAGGGGCGCCUCCUUCAUCUACGAGAAGUUCGUCAGGGAGCAGAUCAGGAAGCACGGGGUGAUGCUGCACGAGCACCAUGGCCACGAUGCCGGCCACGGCUCGCACGUCCUGAAGGCUGAGCACGGCGUGCACUGA